UACGAAGGGGGCUAGCGUUGCUCGGAAUUACUGGGCGUAAAGGGUGUGUAGGCGGAUGUCUAAGUCAGAGGUAAAAGCCCAGGGCUUAACCUUGGAACUGCCUUUGAUACUGGGCAUCUUGAGUUCGGGAGAGGUAAGUGGAACUCCGAGUGUAGAGGUGAAAUUCGUAGAUAUUCGGAAGAACACCAGUGGCGAAGGCGACUUACUGGCCCGAUACUGACGCUGAAACACGAAAGCGUGGGGAGCAAACAGG
rnacentral:rRNA from 1 species